rnacentral:lncRNA from 1 species
GGAACAGCCAAAAGCUACAAUCAGUAGUUGACAAAAGGAAAAAAACUUUAGUACCUAGAUACUUAAUCAUCAAUGGCUAACUCUCUGCUGGUUUUACUAGUCACUGUUUAAACUUUAUUUUUAACUAAUUAAGUUAAAAAGUUACUUCCUCUAUUGCACUUGGCAAAUCUCAAGUGCUCAGUAGCCACAGGUGGCUGAUGCUAUGACAAUGGACUGCAUAAAUACAGAAUUUCCAGCAUCACAGAACAUUCCAUUGGACGGUACUGAUCCAGAUCCCUUAUCCCAGAGAAUGGGGUCUUCCCCAUGGCUGAUCUGGGCAUAGGUCACCCAGAGACCGUCUUACAGCUGGAAUCUGUGGGCUGCAUGUGCAGACAAGAAGGCUGCAGCAGCUCCAGAUUACAGUGGAAACGUGGAUGCUUCUCCCUGGCGGCUCCUGUCACGUUCCAGGUUCCGUGAUUCCUCUCAGAAAUAAAGAAGCGGUAUUUGAGGAGAGAUGGAGAAAUUCUGGGAACCCAAGCCCUCUUGGACGAAGCAGUAACCUCAGCUUCCGUGGUGCAUCUUUGCUUUCUGCCAUCCUUCCUUCCUUUGUUCCUUCCUCCUUCUCCUCCCUUCUUUGACUCCUUUCGUGUCCACUGAGGACCCAGCAUUUUGUCUGUACUAAGCCGGUGCUGUGAGAGUUAAAGAAACAGUAAGGUCUCCCUGUAAGACACCUGCCAUCUUAACUCCUUUGGGAACAGAGAGAGAGGUUGGAAGAAACAAAUGCAAACCAACUGAAAGGACAAGAACUACAUAUAGCUGAUUGUCCUUAUUGCAGUGAUUAUGUUUUACAGACCUGCCACAAACUAGUCAGUCGCGAACCAGUGCUCCCAGCAGAAUACAGUAGGGUCCUGAGAACCUCUGGUCACAAUACUUUCAGCAACCAAUCAAUACCUAACCUUGUUUUCUGUGUGUUUCUGUCUAAAGACGCCUUAUUUAAUACAUGGUUGAUUCAUUAACAUCGAACUCUCAGUCAACAGCCCUCUGACUGGUGCCUGAAUGACAUUUCUCUAACGCACGUGCAUUCCCCACGAGGCGCAUCACAGCCUUCUUGAGCUUGGGGACACCAGACAGCACUUCAGGAUUUUCUAGGAGGACAUUUUAAACAGAGAAAUCAUAAACUAAAAGCACAAAUAUGUGAAAAAUGCAACACGAAACAGACCGCAAACAGGGCACUUGUUACAGUUAAGGAGAAGAAACAAGAAGGUUGCCCAGGUGGCAACAGGAACCUUGAGCAACUCAAACUUUUCGCAGCUCUGCGCGUGUCCACAAAUGACCACGAAAGGACUGCGAGUGUUGAUUUUGGGGUAACAGAUAAAUUUUAGCAAGUAGACAAAUUCAUAAAUAUGAAAUCUGUGAAUAAUGAGGGUUGACCAUGGAUAUAUGUGAGUGUGCAUAAAGUUCCCAUUCAGAAAAAUUAAGGACCAAAAGAGAAAAGGAAAUACAUUGGGAAAAAUUUUAUGGAGAAUAGGGGCAAUGGACGGAGGUGAGAGACGUGGGGAGGGAGGGCCUUCCAGCCUCGUGCCCUGGAUGAGGAGAGGUGAGCACGGUGAGGUGUGUGUUUCUGUGAGAAAGGAGGUGGAGUCUAGCUGGAGAAGGGGCUACACGGGAGCCAAGCGGGAGCAGCUUGGAAGGGAGGUGGAAGCCAGGUGGAAGGUAGGCGGACGUGUGUGAUUCAUCUUGAGAAAUCCUGAGCCACAUCUGCGGGAGAAGGUGAAGAGUAAGUCAGCUGUGUGAGUCUGACCUCAGUAUGCUCAACUCCAAAUACUAGGUAAGAGAGGCCUUUUAGAAGAGAUGACAAAAUAGCAGUUAGUUCUUCAAACACCAAUUUGUAGAAGAGAAGAAUGUUUAGGAGGAAAGACUUUUAGGGUGGUCUUCACUGAAAACAUAUUUCACAAGCAAGUAGCAAUAACCUGUUCUGUUGGCAAAACAAGAGAAACUGGGCUCAAAGCCAGGAUGAGACAGAAAUGUUGCUUUUGAAGAUGAAACCCUGUAGACAUUUGUCAAAGCCCACUCAUGCUUCAGACCAUCAGAACAAAAGGUAUAAGUACCUGUUUUGAUGAAAUAUCACUGGCUACUUCGUAGGAAAAAUAUAAGUAGAGCUGGAAUCUCUGAGUCAGAAAAAAACCCAGUACAGCUGAGUCUUGCAAGCAAGCACACUCACAAAAGGAGCAGAAGUGACUGUGGGGAAAAUAAAGCAUGGUCUAGACCAGC